rnacentral:sRNA from 1 species
GUGUACUAUAAAAUGUACAAGCUAGUUACUCUAGUUGUAGCAGCUUUUGCUUUUUGUGACACAGCGAAUGUAGCCAAGAGAGAUGAGCAGUGCACUGGGUUGUUACAGUGUGCUUCUUACCUGUCGGACUUAGAAACAUCCAGCUUUGGUUCCUUACCAGAUGAAGAACAAUACGAACAGCUAUGUCG